GGCAUGGUGGCUCAGUGGUUAGAGCGCCCGCCUCAUGAACGGGACGUGGUGGGUUCGAACCCCAGCCGAGUCA
rnacentral:tRNA from 1 species